UACGGAGGGUGCGAGCGUUGUCCGGAAUCACUGGGCGUAAAGGGCGCGUAGGCGGCGCGGAAAGUCGUCGGUGAAAGCUCGGGGCUCAACCCUGAGUCUGCCGGUGAUACUCCCGCGCUCGAGCUCACUAGAGGCAGAUGGAAUUCCGGGUGUAGCGGUGGAAUGCGUAGAGAUCCGGAAGAACACCGGUGGCGAAGGCGGUCUGCUGGGGUGAGGCUGACGCUGAUGCGCGACAGCGUGGGGGAGCAAACAGG
rnacentral:rRNA from 1 species